rnacentral:lncRNA from 1 species
GAGAACCUUGUCCUAACAUGAGCAAAGUUGAAAGCCCAGUUUCUUAAAGAUCGGAUGGGGGGAGAGGCCCUUACAACGGUCAUUAUGUGCCCCCACAGCCUUGUUAGGAAUAGGAGGAGAACCUCGUCCUAACAUGAGCAAAGUUGAAGGCCCGAUUUCUUAAAGAUUGGAUGAGGGGAGAGGCCCUUACAAUGGCCCUUAUGUGCCCCCGUAGACUUAUUAGGAACAGGAGGAGAACCUCAUCCUAACGUGAGCUAAAGCCGGCUGUCGGGAAUAAGGUGAGGACCUCAUCCCGACGCAAGCAAAGACUCAGUUGAUCGACA